GUACCCAUGGUGUAGUGGGAUCACAUCCGCUUCACAUCGCGGAAGUUCCAGGUUCGAAACCUGGUGGGUACA